rnacentral:rRNA from 1 species
AGCAACGAUCAGUAGCCGGCCUGAGAGGGUGAACGGCCACAUUGGGACUGAGACACGGCCCAAACUCCUACGGGAGGCAGCAGUGGGGAAUAUUGCACAAUGGGCGAAAGCCUGAUGCAGCAACGCCGCGUGAGCGAUGAAGUAUUUCGGUAUGUAAAGCUCUAUCAGCAGGGAAGAUGAUGACGGUACCUGACUAAGAAGCCCCGGCUAACUAC